GCAGUCGUGGCCGUGUGAUUAAGGUGAUGGACCAGAGAUCCAUUGGGGUCUUCCCGCACAGGUUGGAAUCCUGUCGACUGCG
rfam:Ixodes scapularis strain Wikel colony gcontig_1108378939414, whole genome shotgun sequence.